UCUAAAAUGGCAGAAUAGUGCAAUGAAUUUAAGAUUCAUAUAUAAAGAAUAACUUUUUUUAGAA
rnacentral:tRNA from 1 species